rnacentral:RNase_P_RNA from 1 species
GGAGCCGGCCAGGCGACCGCGUCGGGACUCGUUCCCGCCGAGGAAAGUCCGGACUCCGCAGGGCAGGACGCUGGGUAACCCCCAGGCGCGGCGACGCGUGGCAAGUGCAACAGAGAGCAGACCGCCAGGGGCCCCCGUCCGCGGGGGUACCGGUGAGGGUGAAAGGGUGCGGUAAGAGCGCACCGGCGCCGGCGGUGACGUCGGCGGCCAGGCAAACUCCCGUCCGGAGCAAGGCCGAGCAGGUGCGUCAGCAGGUGGCCCGCCGAGCAUCGGGUAGGCCGCUGGAGGUCGUCGGCAACGACGAUCGUAGAGAGAUGGUCGCCCCGCGCCCUCCACGGGCGCGGACAGAAUCCGGCUUACCGGCCGACUCCCUCA